GCCCGGUUAGCUCAGUUGGUAGAGCACAGGACCGAUAAUCCUGGGGUCGCUGGUUCGAACCCAGCACCGGGUACCA
rnacentral:tRNA from 1 species